GGAGAAUAGUAGAGACAGAAAAAUGAUCUACAGAAAAUGGAGUCUGCUUACCGGCCCGACCUCGAUCAUCGCCGGAGUAAUCGGCACCGUUGUUGUCGCCGAUCUCAUUUUCCUUGAUAACGGCUGGUUGCGCAAGGGAGAUGAAAAGAAGCAAGAACCAGCAAAUAAAACCAAGUAGAAGCAGAAAAGAUGCACAUUCUAAUUGCUGUGUUCUUUUGUUUUGUCAAAAAUGCGAUGUUGAAUAAAUAGAUCUUGUUCAUUACAAAAUUCAGUUUUUGUGUGUAAAAUGUAAAUCCUUUGUUUUCA